rnacentral:rRNA from 1 species
AACGCGAAGAACCUUACCCAGGUUUGACAUGUAGAGGAAGAAUACAGAGAUGUAAACGCCCGUUUGGGCUUCUACACAGGUGCUGCAUGGCUGUCGUCAGCUCGUGCCGUGAGGUGUUGGGUUAAGUCCCGCAACGAGCGCAACCCUUAUCGUUAGUUGCCAGCACGAAAGGUGGGCACUCUAACGAGACUGCCUGGGUUAACCAGGAGGAAGGUGAGGAUGACGUCAAGUCCGCAUGGCCCUUAUGUCUGGGGCGACACACGUGCUACAAUGGUCGGUACAGAGGGCAGCCAAACCGCGAGGUGGAGCAAAUCCUAAAAGCCGACCUCAGUUCAGAUUGUAGUCUGCAACUCGACUACAUGAAGUUGGAAUUGCUAGUAAUGGCGAGUCAGCCACAUCGCCGUGAAUACGUUCCCGGGCCUUGUACACACCGACGCGUA